rnacentral:rRNA from 1 species
GCCUUAACAUGCAGUCGAACGGCAGCACGGGAGCUAUCCUGGGGGCGAGUGGCGAACGGGUGAGUAAAGUAUCGGAACGUGCCCAGUCGUGGGGGAUAACGUAGCGAAAGUUACGCUAAUACCGCAUACGAUCUAUGGAUGAAAGCGGGGGAUCGCAAGACCUCGCGCGAUUGGAGCGGCCGAUAUCAGAUUAGGUAGUUGGUGGGGUAAAGGCUCACCAAGCCGACGAUCUGUAGCUGGUCUGAGAGGACGACCAGCCACACUGGGACUGAGACACGGCCCAGACUCCUACGGGAGGCAGCAGUGGGGAAUUUUGGACAAUGGGCGAAAGCCUGAUCCAGCCAUGCCGCGUGCAGGAUGAAGGCCUUCGGGUUGUAAACUGCUUUUGUACGGAACGAAAAGGUUUGGCCUAAUAAGCUGAGCUCAUGACGGUACCGUAAGAAUAAGCACCGGCUAACUACGUGCCAGCAGCCGCGGUAAUACGUAGGGUGCGAGCGUUAAUCGGAAUUACUGGGCGUAAAGCGUGCGCACGCGGUUAUGUAAGACAGAUGUGAAAUCCCCGGGCUCAACCUGGGAACUGCAUUAGUGACUGUAUAGCUGGAGUACGGAAAAGGGGGAUGGAAUUCCCCCGGGUAACAGUGAAAUGCGUAGAUAUACGGAGGAAAACCCUAUGGCGAA